GGUUUAAAAAUCCUCAAGCUGCAAACCUGAGUUCACAAUUUAUUGUAAAAGCCU
rnacentral:tRNA from 1 species